rnacentral:rRNA from 1 species
GGGGAAUUUUGGACAAUGGGCGCAAGCCUGAUCCAGCCAUGCCGCGUGUCUGAAGAAGGCCUUCGGGUUGUAAAGGACUUUUGUCAGGGAAGAAAAGGCUGUUGCUAAUACCGACAGCUGAUGACGGUACCUGAAGAAUAAGCACCGGCUAACUACGUGCCAGCAGCCGCGGUAAUACGUAGGGUGCGAGCGUUAAUCGGAAUUACUGGGCGUAAAGCGAGCGCAGACGGUUACUUAAGCAGGAUGUGGAAUCCCCGGGCUCAACCUGGGAACUGCGUUCUGAACUGGGUGACUAGAGUGUGUCAGAGGGAGGUAGAAUUCCACGUGUAGCAGUGAAAUGCGUAGAGAUGUGGAGGAAUACCGAUGGCGAAGGCAGCCUCCUGGGAUAACACUGACGUUCAUGCUCGAAAGCGUGGGUAGCAAACAGGAUUAGAUGCCCUGGUAGUCCACGCCCUAAACGAUGUCAAUUAGCUGUUGGGCAACUUGAUUGCUUAGUAGCGUAGCUAACGCGUGAAAUUGACCGCCUGGGGAGUACGGUCGCAAGAUUA